rnacentral:lncRNA from 1 species
CAGAAGUGCGGAUGCUUUCUACUUUGGUGGCACUCCACCUUCUGUACCCCUGGCCCCAGCAACCACUCAGCCCUCAAUCUUCCAUGUGGAGCCUGCAGAGAAAGUAGGAGGAAGGAAACUACAAGCACUGCUAGAGUUUAAAAAAGUGCUCACCCGAAAUUGCACAAUUCAUCCCAUGGGCUCAGCAGGAAUGCGGCAUUUGGAGAAAUUACACCUCUGAGCUGCCAGG